CACCUGCCCCACACUCAGUUCUAGUUAUAACCAUUAACUAACAGUGUUGCUUAGAAAGGCUGGGCCUCUCAAGAUCCCAGGUCUUUUCUGUCAAGAAAUUCUAUGUUAAGCAGAUUGCCAGCACAGAACCACACAUCUCUUGAGUCGGGUAUCCAUGUGAUCUUUGCUAUUCUGAGCCCUGCUUCCUUCAUAAGUACAUUGUAAACAAAGUAACUCCACACUGACGGAGAUGAGAGUAGACAAAGGUGCAUGUCCUGACUCGAACUUUUUCUCCAUUUUUCCAGCUUUUUCUUAAAGAAAGUGACCUAGGUGUUUGAGAAGUGUGAUUUUUAGAAGAAAGCUUUAUAUAGUUGACCUAAAGAAACUGCAAUACAAUCUGCUAUGCAGCACCUGUGAAGUCAGUCAAGAGAAUGAAUACGUCCAUCACAUAGCAUGUUCUUGAGUCUCUCACAGAGAUGCCACAUCAUCCCCUUCCCCUGUAACAGGCACUUUUGUCUCUUGACAAGCUUAAGGAAGCCCCACAAUCCUUCUAGUGCUCCGGGUGGCCACCAUCUAACUAGAUAGUUUCCUCACUCUCCCAGCUGCAAAAGCUUCUCCUAAUCAUUCACCUAUCAGGAAAGUGCUUCCAGGUGAGUAAAUCUGGCACUGAAUGAAGAUCACAAGGUGAGAUAAUACAUUUCCCUCCACCUCCACAUCCAGGUAUAAGGUUUCAGCCCACAGGUUUUAUACAAAGUAUCUUCAGAUCAGACAGCUGCUUUCAAAGGGAAUGUAACUAAGACCCCACUCCUUGGUAAGAGGGCUCAAAAGCCACAUGAUGCUUGAAGUUCACUUUAGCUCCCUCCUUCACUAAACACACCACACAAAGGAUGUUUGCUUCCCACAAAUAAGUCUAAUUCAAAAAUUAGACUUUUCCUCCCAUGGUUUUAGGAUUCCAACCGAAGGCUAGAAAUAAAGGCAUUUAGAAACUUCUCAAAGAAAGCAAGAUUACCAGGUUUACUCUAAGCAUAGGGGCUCUAAACUGACGUGUUUCUUUACUGCAGUACAUUAGCUGGGAGAGAGAUUUUGCUAAAGUAUCUUUUAUGCUAAAGGUUAAACAGUACUUAAAAAGCAGGUGACUUAAGAGAUUUGAUCAUGAGUCUCAAAAUUCACGAUCCCAUCUUAAGCUUCCCCAAGAUCUAACUUCCUUUAGAAACCCCAGUGAUAAGAAAAGCUUCUCCUCUGUCUCUAUUUCAAGCAAGAGAAGAGACGCCUGAUAAGACGACUCCAGGAAGUUGCCAUAACCUCCUAAGAGGUAUUUUCUGUCUGCACACAACUAGUUUCCAUUCUUUCAAGUUCCUCAAUCUGCUUAGAUUCCCUCGCCUAUUUACUUCGUUCAUUCUUUCCCUUUUAAAGUAAGCUAACCAAAAUUUCCCUUGAGAUCUACGAAAGGUUUGGUUCUUUCUACCCACCGCUCCUAGCCAGAUAACUUUUUAGCACGCAGUGUGCCUGUAAAACUUUGAACCACGUUCAGACCCCAACCCCAAACCACACCCAGCAGCACCAGAGCAACCU
rnacentral:lncRNA from 1 species